AAUACCUAGGAAUCUGCCUGGUAGUGGGGGACAACGUUUCGAAAGGAACGCUAAUACCGCAUACGUCCUACGGGAGAAAGCAGGGGACCUUCGGGCCUUGCGCUAUCAGAUGAGCCUAGGUCGGAUUAGCUAGUUGGUGAGGUAAUGGCUCACCAAGGCUACGAUCCGUAACUGGUCUGAGAGGAUGAUCAGUCACACUGGAACUGAGACACGGUCCAGACUCCUACGGGAGGCAGCAGUGGGGAAUAUUGGACAAUGGGCGAAAGCCUGAUCCAGCCAUGCCGCGUGUGUGAAGAAGGUCUUCGGAUUGUAAAGCACUUUAAGUUGGGAGGAAGGGCAUUAACCUAAUACGUUAGUGUUUUGACGUUACCGACAGAAUAAGCACCGGCUAACUCUGUGCCAGCAGCCGCGGUAAUACAGAGGGUGCAAGCGUUAAUCGGAAUUACUGGGCGUAAAGCGCGCGUAGGUGGUUCGUUAAGUUGGAUGUGAAAUCCCCGGGCUCAACCUGGGAACUGCAUCCAAAACUGGCGAGCUAGAGUAGGGCAGAGGGUGGUGGAAUUUCCUGUGUAGCGGUGAAAUGCGUAGAUAUAGGAAGGAACACCAGUGGCGAAAGGCGACCACCU
rnacentral:rRNA from 1 species